AUAUGACAAGAAAAAUACGAGGUACGGCAUUUCUGUUAUGUGCUGCAUGUUUGACCAGUUGGCUGUUUGUCACAGAUAAGGUGUAUGUUCAGCCGUUAUGUCAUUCUUCUGAAUUAAGUUCAUCCUACAACAUAUCUACUGAGAUUCUUCCCUGGCACAUUGUUGAAAAUAAAGUAAAAAAUGUACAGCUUGGAGGACGCUUUACACCUAAAAAUUGCAUAUCUAUGUGGAAGAUCGCAAUUAUCAUCCCUUACAGGGACAGAGAAAACCAUCUAAAGGUGUUCUUGAGAAAUAUUCACCCGUUUUUACAACAACAACAACUUGAGUAUGGGAUAUUUGUUAUUGAAAUGCCACCGUAUGCAGCUUUCAACAGAGGACUAUUAAUGAAUGCCGGGUUUGAAGAAUCAUCGAGGCUAUCUAAUUACAACUGUUUUAUUUUUCACGACGUCGAUCUUCUGCCAGAAACCCUUAGAAAUGAGUACAAAUGCAGUGAUCACCCUAAACAUAUGGCAACUGCUAUUGAUACAAGAAA
rnacentral:lncRNA from 1 species